GCCCCUGUAGCUCAGCGGAUAGAGCGCAGCCCUGCGGAGGCUGAGACCUGGGUUCAAUUCCCGGCAGGGGUA
rnacentral:tRNA from 1 species